CUCCAACUCCUUGUAUGUGUUUGAUGUUUAGAUCCUGCACUGCAAAGUUAGUUCCUGUGGUCACCUGGUCUCGGAUUCUUAUUUGGUCUUCUAGGAGCUGUAAUUUUGAGCCUUACUCCAACCAUCUUCACCCCUCUGCAUUCCUGCCUGACAAAUUUCAUCCUUGCCCAGGUGUCUACCUGCCCAUAUCCUGGUCUGCUAACCUGGAGGCAAAAAUUGUUCUGCCUGGCUUACCAGCAAUCUGUGCCUCUUCCUUAUCAGAAUCAAAGAUGAUUCCAGGACAGCCAGAGCUACACAGAAAAACCCUGUCUCAAAGAACCAGAAGUGAAAAAGGAAGAGUACCUACUGAAUGAAGGUGGAUAGAAGAGAAUGGUGGUCCUUCUUCUGGAAUGAUACAGUCAAAGUACAUCAUACACCUGCAAGAAAUGUCCUUGUGAAACUCAUCACUACAUACAAUAAAUACACGCUAAUUAAAA